GAUGGGGGUAGGUGGGGGCAGAGGAGAAGGCUCUAUGUCUGUGGGUGGCACCAGAUGCCUCGGAAGGUGCGGGGCCUCCCUCCACGGCCGCCCAGGACCCAGGGCGCUGACUAUCUCCCCUGGAGUAUGGCAGGGCCCAGGGGGCUGAGGCAGGGCCCCCUUUGGCAAAUUCUUCACUCAUAGAGGUUUCGUGCCUUUCUCUGUAAAAUGAGGAUGCGAACAUGGUUUGUCUUUCAGGAUAGCUGUGAUUAGAACAUGUGUGUAAAGCGCCCGUCAUGGCAGCAUCCUUCUGGCAACAAGUCUUCACUUGCAAAACAAGUCCUUUUAGCUCCACACUAUGAAGAUUUUGCCUAGAGAAGAAGUGGUUGUUCUGCUUACCUGGUAACAUGUGUAACCGGAUCCACACUAUCAUGGGCCCUCACAGCUUCCCCUGGAUAUAUGGCAGGUCCUCCCGUCUUGGCUCUGCGACACCAUCUCCCAUUGCUCUGUUUCACUUCUCUCGUCCCACACUCCCUGCUGAUACGGUGUGGUUGUGUCCCCGUCUCCAUCUCAUCUUGAAUUGUAGCUCCCAUAAUCCUCCUGCAUUGUGGGAGGAGCCCGGUGGGAGGUAAUUGAGUCACGGGGGCGGGUCUUUCCCGUGCUGUUCCUGUAAUAGUGAAUACAUCUCAUGGGUUCUGAUGGUUUUAUAAAGGGCAGUUCCCCUGCGCACACACUCUCGCUGCCACCAUGUAAGAGGUGCCUUUGCUUCUCCUUCGCCUUCUGCCAUGAUUGUGAGGCCUCCCCAGCCAUGUGGGACUGUGAGUCCAUUCAACCUCUUUCCUUUAUAAAUUACCCAGUCUCAGGUGUAUCCUUUUAGCAGCAUGAGAACAGACUACACCUGCCCUGCCCAGUCUCCUUUGCUGGCUCUCCCACAGCUGGCGUCACCCCAGAAGCGGCAGCAGGAAACUUCCGCAAGGCUUAUUGGAACUUGUGCUCAGAGGGUCCCAGCGUCCUUACGAGGCACAGUGAGACCUGAUGCUCUGCCCAGGUACGUCUGCUGUGAGGGCGUCGGACUGUGGAGUUUAUAGGGGGUCUGAGGACUCUGGUUCAGGGCUGGGGCUAGUUCCUGGAUAUCUCACAACAUGGUUGAUUUCUUAGUGUUCGGAGCAGCCACCUACCCAGCUUUCGCAGUGCCUGGGAAUCAAAUAGGCCCAGCUUGGGUUCAAGCCUGUGGGUAAACUUGCAGCUGCCAGGGCCACAGAGGGGUCAAGGACCCUGUGCUUCUCUGGCUGAAGAAAACUAGGGGGCCUGGGGGCCCUUCCCUCCUCUUCAG
rnacentral:lncRNA from 1 species